GUUGCCUUUGCAAGGGGCGGGUUCUGGUGACGCUGGGAAAAAUGCUCACUCCUGAGGCGCAGAUUGGUUGGUUCCCCACCUGAACCUAAUCAAGGGGGUGGAGCUAAAGGGACGUAGCCAAAGGGAACCGAACUAAGGGGGGCGGGGCUGGGGGGGCGUGUCACCGGAGGGCGGGGCUAAGCUGUGUGACGUGAGGCGGGGGAGGGGCACGUGGUUGCUAACCGUGCCCGUGCGCUUCGUUCUGCUGCCUUAUUGGUUCAGCUCCCGCUCAGGGAACGUCCUAUCAUGUCUCGCGUUUACCUUUGUUUCCCAUGGUUGCUCCUUUCGUGGCAACCGUGGUGGCUUCUGGUCCAGGUAGCUCAGGCUUCGGACUGGGUCCUGGACCAUGUCCCCUUGACCUCCGACCCCCGAGGUCUCACCGAGCCCUGGCUUUCCCACUUCUCUGAACGCUCACCGGAACUGCCCCCGGUGCUUCCACCCGGGGCCGAGCCAGGGGGCUUUGAUUACUUGCCGGCCUUCUCUCCAGACGAGAUGUUCGCGCCGCCCAAUCCGGCGUUAGCUGAGACUUUGGUUCCAGACCCGGCCUGGGAUUCGGUUGGUGAGUUGCCCGCAGGGCCAGAUCACUUUUCUGUGGAACCCCAGGAUCUGAAUGCCAGGCUAACCCCGCAUCCAAAUCUGCCAGAGGUUCCUCAAGUGCUGGGUUGGGGUCAGAAUCAGGACUUAGUUCUGCCUCUACUCAAAAGUAAGACGGAAGGGAUAGAUCCAGAUCAGGCUGAAGAUCACCAGGUAUUUGAAAUACUUGUUCCGCCUCUAGGCAGUAAGAGUUCAAAGCCAACAAGACUCAUUGUUUCACCCACCAACUUGAAGAAAGAUCUGUUUCGGCAUCGACAGCUUGCCAAAGUUGUUGUCGGCAACAGGGGCCAAUCUGAAAAAAGUCAGCAACUAGAAGAGUUGGAGGAUGAUUAUUUAGAUCCCAGUACGAACGUGUUUUAUCCUGAGGAUAACCUCCCUACAGCUUUUGUAGAGAGCCAAGCUCAACCUCCUGAGCCCACUGGGGAGGUUGAAUCCUCAGCCCAGAAAGAGGCCCCUGCUCAGCAUCCACAGCCCACCGAAGAGGUAGAGUCCCCUCUGCUUGAGCAGGAGCCUCUAUUUCAGCCUUCAGAGGCUCCUGAGGAAGUGGAGGAGGCCCUAGCGGAGGCUUCAGAGACAAUGAAGGAGGCUGGAGUUCAACCCUCAGUACAUUUUAGGGUAAAUGAAACUCAGCAGUCGGACUUGCACAACAUCACUGGUGCACCUCUGGAUCUGGCCCUUACCAUAACCCCAGAGGUCACUAAAGAGUUUGAACCUGCUCCAGUCCAGCAGGAGGCCUUACCUCAGCCUCCAGUCCUGGAGUCCCCAUCGCAGCCUCCAGAGCGCCCUGAGGAGGUCCAGCUAGCGUCCCCAGCUCAUGCUCCAGGGUUCCCUACCCAGGAUGUACUUCAAAAGCCAGCAAGUGAAGAGCCAGAAGCUCCGCAUCAUCCACCUCAUCCCGUUCAUUCACUCUUGCCCACUGUGACACUUCAGCCUCUAGAUUUGGGGCUUACGAUUACUCCAGAGCCUACUAAGGAAACUGAGUCUACUCCAGUCCAGCAGGAGGCCCUGGCUCAGCCUGUCGAGCCUCCUGAGGAGGUGGAACUUUCUCCAACCCAGCAGGAGACCUCAGAGAAGCCUCCAGAGCCUCCAGAGGAGGUUGAGCCUUUGAGUGAGCCGGAGCAACCAGCUCCGCCUUCUGAGCUUCCUGGGGAAGAUGAACACUUUCCAACCCAGCAGCAGAGCCCAGCUCAGCUUUCAGAGUCUUUGGAACAAGCUGAAACACCUCCAACCGAGGAAGAGACCCCAGCUCUCUCUGCAGAGGAGGUAGAACCUUCUGCAACCCUGCAGGAGCAAGCAGCUCAGCCUCCAGAGCCAGCUUCUGGGGAGGCGGAAUCUCCUCCGCCUCAACAGGAACAGCCAGCUCAACCUGUGGAGCAUCACGAAGUGACAGUUUCCCCUCCAAGUCACCAUCACGCUCAGCAUUCAAACUUACCCAGUGUCACUGCCAAUCCUGUGGAUCCGGCACUUGUCUUAACUCUAGAGCCCAUUAAGGAGGUUGAAACCUCUCCCGUGCAGCAGGAGGCCCCUGCUCAGACUCUAGGUCCCCCUGGGGGAGUGGAGCUUCCUUCAGUCCAGGAGGAGGCUCCAGCUCAGUCUCCGGUUCCCCUGGGGGAGCCAGCUGUAUCUCCUGAGCCCCCUAAGGAGGUAGAACCUUCUCCCACACAGCAGGAGCUUCAGGCUCAGCCGUCAGAGCCUCCUGAGAAGGCGGAGCCAUUUUUAGUCCCUCAAGGGACCCUUCCUGAGGUUCUGCAGUCCCAUGAGGAUGUAGAAUCUCCCACCCAGCAGGAAACUUUGGAGCCCCUUGAAGAGACGGAACCUUCUCCAGCCCAGCAGGAGGCCCAGUCUCAGCCUCCAGAGCCACCUAAGGAGGUUGAGGCACAAACUCCAGUGCAUUCUGAGAUGACAGUUCCGACACUAGGACAGGAUCAAGCUCAGCGAGUGUCACAGUUAAACCUCCAGAAGCUAUUGCAGCAGACGGUAGCACCCUGCAGCAGACGACAGCUCCUCCAACAUACCUUGAGGCAACACUUCCCCGUCCAGAGCAGCUGCAGGCUCAGCAUCCAUACCUGACUGAAUUCACAGUUCAACCUUUGGACCUGGAACUUACCUUAAGGGCAGAACCCACUAAGGAGGAUGAACCUUCUACAGCGAUGCAAGAGACCCCAGCUCAAAGUCUGGAGCCACCUAAAGAGGUUGUAGCCCAGCCUCCAUUGUAUCAGUCUGUGACAAAUGCCGCUCCAGGUCCGGAUCAAGCUCCGUAUCCAACGUCGUCCACAAUCCCAGUUCAGCCUUUUGACGUGGUGCUUACUGUAACUCCAGAACCUACUACAGAGGUUGAACACUCUGCAACUCCCCCUCCCAACCCCCCUGAGGCGACGCUUCCACGUCCAGAGCAGGUUCAGGCUCAGGAUUCAACCUUGACUGAGGUCACCGUUCAGCCUUUGGACCUGGAGCUUACCAUACGUGCAGAACCCACCAAGGAGAAUGACCUUCUCCACCCAUGCAGGAGACCCUAACCCAGCCUCCAGUGAGUCAGAGCCAAACAGUUCUAACACCAAAUCAGGGUCAGGCUGAGCAUCCACCGUCAGCCAGUGUCACAGCUGAGCCUGUGCACCAGGAGCCUACCGUAACUCCAGAACCCACCACGGAGGCCGAACAUUCUACAGGCCUGCAGCAGGCUGCAGCUCCCCCUUUAGAACACCCUGAGGCCAUACCUCCACAUCCAGACCGGACCCGAGUCACAGUUCAACCUGUGGACGUGGAACUUACUCUAACUCCAGGAUCCAGUGUGGAGGCUGAACCUUCUCCAACCGGGCAAGAGCCCCCACCUCAGCCUCCAGAGCCAUUGCCUCAGGAGGCCACAGUUCCAAAUCCAAGUAAGGAUCAAGGUCAAGGGCCUACCACCACUCUACGCCCUCCUGCAGAGGCUGGACCUUCUACAGUCCUGCAAGAGACGACAUCUCCCCUGCCAGGAUACCCUGCAGGGACACUUCCUUACCCAGGCCUGACUCGACACACAGCUCCACCUGUUAGCAUAACUUCUCAACCAGGAUCAACUGAGACAAUUCUUCCUUCUACUCAGUCUUCAGUGGUGCAUUCUGCAAAAUAUGCCCCAGAAAAGGCGCAGUCGGAACAGAAUGCCAUCGACAUAUGUGAGCUCUGUACCUGCAGAAACGAGACGCUGUCGUGUACUGGUCUCAGCCCAAAUCAGAGGCUCCGCAGUGUGCCUGUCUAGGGCCCAACAGCUACAACCACACCUUCACCGUCUUAGAUUUCCAAGGAAACUCUAUUUCUUACAUUGAUGGAAACACAUGGAAGGGAUUCCGUUGGGUUGAGAAACUAAUUCUCAGGGAUAAUGCUUUGACGGAGUUACAUAAGGAUUCAUUUGAAGGCUUGCUGUCCCUCCGGUAUUUGGACUUAUCCUGCAAUAAGAUACAGUCUAUUGAGAGACGUACAUUUGAAUCACUACCCUUUUUGCAAUAUGUAAAUCUUGGUUGCAAUUUAAUCACAGAAGUGAGCUUUGGAACGUUUCAGGCCUGGCACGGAAUGCAGUUUUUACACAAGUUGUAAGUGAAAUAGAAGAUGAAUACAUGUAAAAAACACUAUGCAUUAAAACCUAAGACAGGGGAGUUCCCGUCGUGGCGCAGUGGUUAACGAAUCCGACUAGGAACCAUGAGGUUGCGGGUUCGGUCCCUGCCCCUUGCUCAGUGGGUUAACGAUCCGGCGUUGCCGUGAGCUGUGGUGUAGGUUGCAGACGCGGCUCGGAUCCCGAGUUGCUGUGGCUCUGGCAUAGGCCGGUGGCUACAGCUCCGAUUCAACCCCUAGCCUGGGAACCUCCAUAUGCUGCGGGAGGGGCCCAAGAAAUAGCAACAACAACAACAACAACAACAACAAAAAGACAAAAGACAAAAACAAAAAAACAAAACCUAAGACAGGUGUUCCUGCUGUGGAGCAGUGGGAUUGGCGGCAUCGGAGGAGCAUUGGGAUGUAGGUUUGAGCCCGGCCCAGCACAGUGGGUUAAGGAUCCUUCCUUACUGCCGCUGCUGCCUAAGUCACAACUGCGGCUCGUAUCUGAUCCCUGGCCUGGGAACUCCAUAUGCCCUGGGGUGGACCAAAAAAAAAAAAAAA